UUGAUGAGUUAUUUCAUGGCUUCUAUCA
rnacentral:piRNA from 1 species